rnacentral:rRNA from 1 species
AUUGAACGCUGGCGGCAGGCCUAACACAUGCAAGUCGAGCGGCUGAAGGGUGCUUGCUCCUGGAUUCAGCGGCCGACGGGUGAGUAAUUCCUAGGAAUCUGCCUGUUUGUGUUGGCUUACGUCCUGACAUGGGCGCUAAUACCCCAUUAGUCCUGAGGGCGUACGUGGGGGAUCUUCGGACCUCACGCUCUCAGAUGAUCCUAUGUCGGAUUAGCUAGUUGGUGGGGUAAAGGCCUACCAAGGCGACGAUCCGUAACUGGUCUGAGAGGAUGAUCAGGCACACUGGAACUGAGAAAAGGGCCCGAAUCCUAAGGGAGGCAGCAGGGGGGAAUAUUGGGAAAUGGGCGAAAGCCUGAUCCAGCCAAGCCGCGUGUGUGAAGAAGGUCUUCGGAUUGUAAAGCACUUUAAGUUGGGAGAAAAGGCAGUAAGUUAAAACCUUGCUGUUUUGAAGGUAACAAAAGAAUAAGCAACGGCUAACUUCGUG